ensembl:lncRNA
CUCUAAAUGAUCAAAAUGUUUUUCUAAACUUGUCUUCUGUCCCUGAUUGAGAGUUCAGAGUGUUUUAUCCAGUCAGAGCUCUUUUAGUGUAAUCAGCUUCAGCUGCUGCUUCUGGUGUCAGAUCUUGAGUGAUUUUGAUCAAGUAAAGGUCAGAAUAACUGCAGUAAUAUCUCCAGAUGAACUCUUACUGGACUGAAGCAGCUCAGCUUUACUUGAUUCUCCAUCAAUCAUGUUUUAGAGUCUCAAAUCUGAUCAUCAGGAUCUUUUGAGGAGCGUUUGUUUCCAGAAGCUUUACUUUCACUGUUCCUCAGCGGAGGAAUGAUCUUCACAAGCCUCCAGAACAUCUCACAUCUUCUGAGGAGCCUUUAUUUCUUCAUCUCUCAAUCACUGCAUUAUAUGUUUGGAUCAUUUACUGCAGAUAUAGACCGACCGCUGAUAUUUAGAUCAGUUUAUCUGCAGUUAGAAAGCAAUAAACAUCCAUGUGUGUUUCUGAAAGAAGUUAACAUGAAGAACGCAUGCACACAAACUCUCUCACUUUGACCAUUUAUUCACAUCGUUUUCAUACAAAAUGCAUAUCCACAGGCUGCUUGAGCGUCUGGCUCUGGGUCCUCGUCCUGGAAGAGAAACGGCAGUGAUUAUCAUCAUCUGAGACGGAGCAGGGGCUGAUGGGAUACGCCGUGUCCGCUCACCUGUCUCUCUCACAGCCUCACUCCAGUCUCUUGGGGUUGUUCACGGCCACAUAGUGAUAGAGCACCACCAGCAGGAAGAGAGAGACGCCCAGCAUGUUGGCGAAGAUGGCCAGCUGCACAUCAGUCACCAUCUCACUGAAAAACAGACAUUUCAAUAAAUGUGUGUCCCUGCAGCACAGAAGCAGUCAUCAGUAGCACAG